rnacentral:rRNA from 1 species
UACAGAGGGGGCAAGCGUUGUUCGGAAUUACUGGGCGUAAAGGGCGCGUAGGCGGCCCGCUAAGUCGAACGUGAAAUCCCCGAGCUCAACUCGGGAACUGCGUCCGAUACUGGCGGGCUUGAAUCCGGGAGAGGGAUGCGGAAUUCCAGGUGUAGCGGUGAAAUUCGUAGAUAUUCGGAAGAACACCAGUGGCGAAGGCGGCUCACUGGACCGUUGUUGACGCUGAGGUGCGAAAGCGUGGGGAGCAAACAGG